AUACGGAGGAUCCGAGCGUUAUCCGGAUUUAUUGGGUUUAAAGGGAGCGUAGGCGGAUUAUUAAGUCAGUUGUGAAAGUUUGCGGCUCAACCGUAAAAUUGCAGUUGAUACUGGUAGUCUUGAGUGCAGCAGAGGUAGGCGGAAUUCGUGGUGUAGCGGUGAAAUGCUUAGAUAUCACGAAGAACUCCGAUUGCGAAGGCAGCUUACUGGACUGUAACUGACGCUGAUGCUCGAAAGUGUGGGUAUCAAACAGGAUUAGAUACCCUGGUAGUCCACACAGUAAACGAUGAAUACUCGCUGUUUGCGAUAUACAGCAAGCGGCCAAGCGAAAGCAUUAAGUAUUCCACCUGGGGAGUACGCCGGCAACGGUGAAACUCAAAUGAAUUGGCGGGG
rnacentral:rRNA from 1 species